rnacentral:rRNA from 1 species
UUCCGGUUGAUCCAGCCAUACCCUACUGCUAUCGGGGUGGGACUAAGCAAUGCAAGUCGAGUGCCUCAAGCUAUGGUGAGGCGCGGCAAACGGCUCAGUAACACGUGGCUAACCUGCCCUUAGGACGGGGGACAACCCCGGGAAACUGGGGCUAAUCCCCGAUAGGCGAAGAGGCCUGGAAUGGUUCUUCGCCGAAAGGGCGUUGGGGGCAUGCUUCCCAACGUUGCCUAAGGAUGGGGCCGCGGCCGAUCAGGUUGUUGGUGAGGUAACGGCCCACCAAGCCUUUAACCGGUACGGGCCAUGAGAGUGGGAGCCCGGAGAUGGGCACUGAGACAAGGGCCCAGGUCCUACGGGGUGCAGCAUGCGCGAAACCUCCGCAAUGUGCGAAAGCGUGACGGGGUUACCCCGAGUGCCGUCCGCUGAGGAUGGCUUUUCUCUGGUGUAAGGAGCCAGAGGAAUAAGGGGAGGGCAAGUCUGGUGUCAGCCGCCGCGGUAAUACCAGCUCCCCGAGUGGUAGGGACGAUUAUUGAGCUUAAAGCGUCCGUAGCCGGCUUGGCAAGUCUUCCGUUAAAUCCAGCGACUCAAUCGCUGGACCGCGAAAGAUACUGCCAGGCUAGGGGGCGGGAGAGGCCGACGGUAUUCCCGGAGUAGGAGUGAAAUCCUAUCAUCCCGGGAGGACCACCAGUGGCGAAGGCGGUCGACUAGAACGCGCUCGACGGUGAGGGACGAAAGCUGGGGGAGCGAACCGGAUUAGAUACCCGGGUAGUCCCAGCUGUAAACGAUGCGGGCUGGGUGUCAAAGCGGCCACGAGCCGCUUUGGUGCCGCAGGGAAACCGUUAAGCCCGCCGCUUGGGAAGUACGGUCGCAAGGCUGAAACUUAAAGGAAUGGGCGGGGGAAGACU